UCGAACGGAAACGAUGGGUGCUUGCACCCAGGCGUCGAGUGGCGGACGGGUGAGUAACGCGUAGGAAUCUACCCAGUAGCGGGGGAUAGCUCGGGGAAACUCGAAUUAAUACCGCAUACGCCCUACGGGGGAAAGCAGGGGAUCUUCGGACCUUGCACUAUUGGAGGAGCCUGCGUUGGAUUAGCUUGUUGGUAGGGUAAUGGCCUACCAAGGCGACGAUCCAUAGCUGGUCUGAGAGGAUGAUCAGUCACACUGGAACUGAGACACGGUCCAGACUCCUACGGGAGGCAGCAGUGGGGAAUAUUGGACAAUGGGGCAACCCUGAUCCAGCUAUGCCGCGUGUGUGAAGAAGGCCUUCGGGUUGUAAAGCACUUUAAGUUGGGAGAAAGGCUAUACGGUUAAUACCCGUGUAGAUUGAUGUUACCAACAGAAUAAGCACCGGCUAACUCCGUGCCAGCAGCCGCGGUAAUACGGAGGGUGCAAGCGUUAAUCGGAAUUACUGGGCGUAAAGCGCGCGUAGGCGGUUUGAUCAGUUGGGUGUGAAAGCCCCGGGCUUAACCUGGGAACUGCAUCCAAUACUGUCAGGCUAGAGUACGAGAGAGGGGGGUAGAAUUCCUAGUGUAGCGGUGAAAUGCGUAGAUAUUAGGAGGAAUACCAGUGGCGAANGCNNNNNNCUGGCUCGAUACUGACGCUGANGUGCGAAAGCGUGGGGAGCAAACAGGANUAGAUACCCUGGUAGUCCACGCCGUAAACGAUGUCAACUAGCCGUUGGGGGGCUUUGUCCNCUUAGUGGCGUANCUAACGCGCUAAGUUGACCGCCUGGGG
rnacentral:rRNA from 1 species